AGACGGGACCCGCACAAGCGGUGGAUGAUGUGGAUUAAUUCGAUGCAACGCGAAAACCUUACCUACCCUUGACAUGUCUGGAACCUUGCUGAGAGGCGAGGGUGCCUUCGGGAGCCAGAACACAGGUGCUGCAUGGCUGUCGCCAGCUCGUGUCGUGAGAUGUUGGGUUAAGUCCCGCAACGAGCGCAACCCUUGUCAUUAGUUGCCAUCAUUUAGUUGGGCACUCUAAUGAGACUGCCGGUGACAAACCGGAGGAAGGUGGGGAUGACGUCAAGUCCUCAUGGCCCUUAUGGGUAGGGCUUCACACGUCAUACAAUGGUCGGUACAGAGGGUUGCCAAGCCGCGAGGUGGAGCCAAUCCCUUAAAGCCGAUCGUAGUCCGGAUCGUAGUCUGCAACUCGACUACGUGAAGUCGGAAUCGCUAGUAAUCGCAGAUCAGCAUGCUGCGGUGAAUACGUUCCCGGGUCUU
rnacentral:rRNA from 1 species